rnacentral:rRNA from 1 species
AUUAAACGCUGGCGGCAUGCCUUACACAUGCAAGUCGAACGGCAGCACGGGGGGCAACCCUGGUGGCGAGUGGCGGACGGGUGAGUAAAGCAUCGGAACGUAUCCUGGAGUGGGGGAUAACGUAGCGAAAGUUACGCUAAUACCGCAUAUUCUGUGAGCAGGAAAGCAGGGGAUCGCAAGACCUUGCGCUCUGGGAGCGGCCGAUGUCGGAUUAGCUAGUUGGUGGGGUAAAGGCUCACCAAGCCAACGAUCUGUAGCUGGUCUGAGAGGACGACCAGCCACACUGGAACUGAGACACGGUCCAGACUCCUACGGGAGGCAGCAGUGGGGAAUUUUGGACAAUGGGCGCAAGCCUGAUCCAGCCAUGCCGCGUGAGUGAAGAAGGCC